AUGACGCCCUCCGCCGUCGCCAACCUAGCCGGCGCCUCCCCGCUGCCCGCCUUCGCGCCGAGGCCCAGGUCCAGGCCCAACUCGGCCAGCCCGGGCCCGUUCGGGCCCGCGCCGCGCCGGCUCGCCGUCGCCGCCCCGCCGCGGGCCUUCUUCUCCUCCGCGCCCUACCAGCCGCCGGAGCCGGAGGGCUACUCCUCCGUCCGCGAGUACGGCCUCGUGCCCAUGGUCGUCGAGACCACCUCCCGCGGGGAGCGCGCCUACGACAUCUUCUCCCGCCUGCUCAAGGAGCGGAUCGUCUGCAUCCACGGGCCCAUCGCCGACGAGACGGCCUCGCUCGUCGUCGCGCAGCUGCUCUUCCUCGAGCUCAAGCCCAUCAGCCUCUACAUCAACUCCCCCGGGGGCGUCGUCACCGCCGGGCUCGCCAUCUACGACACCAUGCAGUACAUCCGCUGCCCCGUCAACACCAUCUGCAUCGGCCAGGCCGCCUCCAUGGGCUCCCUCCUCCUCGCCGCCGGCGCGCGCGGGGAGAGGCGGGCGCUGCCCAACGCCAGGGUCAUGAUCCACCAGCCCUCCGGCGGGGCCCAGGGCCAGGCCACCGACAUCGCCAUCCAGGCCAAGGAGAUCCUCAAGCUGCGCGACCGCCUCAACAAGAUCUACGCCAAGCACACGGGCCAGAACAUCGACAAGAUCGAGCAGUGCAUGGAGCGUGACCUUUUCAUGGACCCCGAGGAGGCGCGCGAAUGGGGGCUUAUAGACGAGGUCAUCGAGAACCGCCCGGCCUCCCUCAUGCCUGAGGGCCUCAGUGCCGUUGACCCGCCUCACCACGGUGGGGGCGCCGGCGCCAACGGCCGUGGCAGGGACAGGGAUAUGGAGGAGCCCUCCGCUGUAUGA
rnacentral:rRNA from 1 species